AUUGAACGCUAGCGGCAGGCCUAAUACAUGCAAGUCGAACGGUGUAGCAAUACACAGUGGCGCACGGGUGCGUAACACGUAUGCAACCUACCUUACAUUGGGGGAUAGCCUUUCGAAAGGGAGAUUAAUACCGCAUAAGACAGUAACUAGGCAUCUAGUAGCUGUUAAAGAUUUAUCGAUGUAAGCUGGGCAUGCGUCCAAUUAGUUAGUUGGCGAGGUAAUGGCUCACCAAGACGAUGAUUGGUAGGGGAACUGAGAGGUCAAUCCCCCACACUGGCACUGAGAUACGGGCCAGACUCCUACGGGAGGCAGCAGUAGGGAAUAUUGGGCAAUGGGCGCAAGCCUGACCCAGCCAUGCCGCGCGCAGGAAGAAGGCGUUAUGCGUUGUAAACUGCUUUUAUACAGGAAGAAACGACCCUUGCGAGGGGCAUUGACGGUACUGUAUGAAUAAGCACCGGCUAACUCCGUGCCAGCAGCCGCAGUAACAC
rnacentral:rRNA from 1 species